rnacentral:lncRNA from 1 species
AUCCUGGCAACAAAUUUUCUUUGUUUUCCUUCAGCUGAGAAGGUCUUCCUUCCUGAAGGAUAUUUUCAGUUGGUAUAGAAUUGACUAUACUAAGUCAACUAUAGUUGACAGCUUUUUUCUUUCAACACUUGAAAAUUAUUGUGACACUUCCUUGUGGCCUCCAUAGUUUCUGAUGAGAAAUCCACUGUCAUUAAAGUUGCUUUUCCUCUGUAGUUUAUACGUGGGAUGCCUACCACAGCAUGGCUGCCAAGCAGUGCCAUGUCCGCACCCGGGAUCCGAACCAGCGAACCCCGGGCCGCCGAGAAGCGGAACGUGCGAACUUAACCGCUGCGCCACCGGGCCAGCCCCAAGGGAACCGAGAAGUAGAUGGAAGAGAUCAAGUGUGAUGGGAGUAGAGACACAACUGAGUGCUCCCUGUCAUCCUUUCUCAUUCAGUCUGCAGGGUCCUUCAGCAAGUGCCCAUCACAGUGAACAAAUUCUUUGAGGGGAAAAAUGAAGUGCAAAGAGAUGAAAGACCUUGUCCAAGAUGCCUGUAAGUGGUGGAGACAGGAUAAGGCUCCAGAUAGGCUGGCUUCAGGGUCUGCAUACUAACCAUCCAUCCCCAAACCCAAAUCAGUGUCUGUCAAUGGGAUGAAGGUAUGGAGCAUCCAGCAGGGGUGUCUGUCAAUGGGUUGAAGCUAUGGAGCAUCCACAAGGGGUGUCUGUCAUUGGGAUGAAGUGAUGUCAACUCCUCAGCAUUUCUGGUCUGCACUGCAUGAGCCUGAAAGCCCUCAGGAUCAGGGAAAAGCUGAACAUAACCUCAGGAAAACCACAGAUAUCUAGUGGAAGACCGUCUAUGUCAGAUGGAAACAGAUCCACGGAGAGGAAGAACAAAGCUACGCCCUGACCAACAAUUAAAAUAACUAUAUCCAGUCAGUAAAGAGACUCGCUAUUUUCUUUUUUCACUGGAAGCAUUAGAAUCUAGAAGAGUUGGGGAAAGGAGAGAGCUUCAGAUAGGUUUUAAAUUUGACAUAUUAAACAGGAUUGUAUUAUGUUCUCAUAAUUGAAACUUAUUAGAAGAGUUAUGAAAUUGAGCCAAAAUUUCACUGGUAUAGGAAAAGAUGAUUUAGAGAAUCAUAGUUAACAGCAGUCAUUUAAAAUAAAUGGAAAGGGUUUUUAUGUUUCCUCACACUCUAGAAUGUCAGCUCAAUGAGAACAGUGAUUCUACUUUGUUAGUUCUGUUUUAUACAUUUCUAGAACAGUGCCUGUGCCUAGUAAAUCUUUAUUAAUGUUUGUUGAAUGAAUGGG